GACGAACGCUGGCGGCGUGCUUAACACAUGCAAGUCGUACGGUAAGGCCCUUUCGGGGGUACACGAGUGGCGAACGGGUGAGUAACACGUGAGUAACCUGCCCACAACUUUGGGAUAACGCUAGGAAACUGGUGCUAAUACUGGAUAUGUGCUCCUGCUGCAUGGUGGGGGUUGGAAAGCUCCGGCGGUUGUGGAUGGACUCGCGGCCUAUCAGCUUGUUGGUGGGGUAGUGGCCUACCAAGGCGGCGCCGGGUAGCCGGCCUGAGAGGGUGACCGGCCACAGUGGGACUGAGAUACGGCCCAGACUCCUACGGGAGGCAGCAGUGGGGAAUAUUGCACAAUGGGCGCAAGCCUGAUGCAGCAACGCCGCGUGCGGGAUGACGGCCUUCGGGUUGUAAACCGCUUUCAGCAGGGACGAAGCUUUUUGUGACGGUACCUGCAGAAGAAGCACCGGCUAACUACGUG
rnacentral:rRNA from 1 species